rnacentral:siRNA from 1 species
AUAAAAGGUCGACGCGGGCU